UACGGAGGGUGCAAACGUUGCUCGGAAUCAUUGGGCGUAAAGCGCACGUAGGCGGUCCUGCAAGUCGGAUGUGAAAUCCCUCGGCUCAACCGAGGAAGUGCAUUCGAAACUGCCGGACUUGAAUAUGGAAGAGGGUCGCGGAAUUCCCGGUGUAGAGGUGAAAUUCGUAGAUAUCGGGAGGAACACCAGUGGCGAAGGCGGCGACCUGGGCCAAUAUUGACGCUGAGGUGCGAAAGCGUGGGGAGCAAACAGG
rnacentral:rRNA from 1 species